rnacentral:lncRNA from 1 species
AGUGGUUAUUUUUCCUCAGCUAGAGGGAAGAACAAAGGAAUGGAGCCCAGAUGCACCAGAAUGGGGACCUGGUGGAAGAACUGAAAAAGCUGGGGAUCCGCUCCACCCUUUUAGAUGAAAAAAGAAAUAUGGAUGUGCCCAUAGCACACAUUACUCAGCUUUGAAACUGGCAGAUAAGGCUGUUGCCUUACAGAAGGGCAGAGAAACAUGAAGGAAUCAACCCAAGUCCAUGAGUGACUGAAUGAGUUGAGUAGGCCACCUAUGUGCUCUGGACUGUCAAGUGGAGAGAAACUUGACAAGUGAUACUGAGUGUCCUCCUCAACCAAAGUGAACAUUUAGAAAGGCAUGUACUCUACUGUAACAUUAAGUACAGUAGGUGUUUCUCCUCACCUGGGCUCUAUAUUCUCAGUUCUUUGCAAACAUCCUCUUAAAGGGAUUUCAUUCCCCCAAGUAGCUAUUGGAAUAGGGUAUUUUGGAAGGGUCUGGGUCACAUACUCCACCUAAGAAUAAAGCCAGCUCUGCUUCUAGGCUCUCAGCCUCAGCCUUACCCAUAUUCUCAAAUCUCUCCACUCGCUCAGCCUCUCAUACA